UACGUAGGGUGCGAGCGUUAAUCGGAAUUACUGGGCGUAAAGCGUGCGCAGGCGGUUUUGUAAGCCAGAUGUGAAAGCCCCGGGCUUAACCUGGGAAUGGCAUUUGGGACUGCAAGGCUUGAGUGCGGCAGAGGAGACUGGAAUUCCCGGUGUAGCAGUGAAAUGCGUAGAUAUCGGGAGGAAUACCGAUGGCGAAGGCAGGUCUCUGGGCUGACACUGACGCUGAGGCGCGAAAGCUAGGGUAGCAAACGGG
rnacentral:rRNA from 1 species